AACCUCCGCAAUGUGAGAAAUCGCGACGGGGGGAUCCCAAGUGCCAUUCUUAACGGGAUGGCUUUUCAUUAGUGUAAAGAGCUUUUGGAAUAAGGGCUGGGCAAGACCGGUGCCAGCCGCCGCGGUAACACCGGCAGCUCUAGUGGUAGCAGUUUUUAUUGGGCCUAAAGCGUCCGUAGCCGGUUUAAUAAGUCUCUGGUGAAAUCCUGUAGCUUAACUGUGGGAAUUGCUGGAGAUACUAUUAGACUUGAGACCGGGAGAGGUUAGAGGUACUCCCAGGGUAGAGGUGAAAUUCUGUAAUCCUGGGAGGACCGCCUGUUGCGAAGGCGUCUAACUGGAACGGUUCUGACGGUGAGGGACGAAAGUUAGGGGCGCGAACCGGAUUAGAUACCCGGGUAGUCCUAACUGUAAACGAUGCGGACUUGGUGUUGGGGUGGCUUUGAGCUGCUCCAGUGCCGAAGGGAAGCUGUUAAGUCCGCCGCCUGGGAAGUACGGUCGCAAGACUGAA
rnacentral:rRNA from 1 species